UUAACGUUUGAUUAAACAUCCCUAAAUGGCCUUGACAUCAUAAUCCACCUAGUUGUGUAUAUAUAAUAACAAGUUCGCUAACUAGCUACCUAGAGAAAUUUCGAUUUUAAUGGUGGGAAUCUAGCUAAUGUGUUAGAUUAAAACUAGAGAAAUUUCUAUUUGAACCGCUUGAUAGCUAGCUAUUAAUCGUUGGUUUGAAAUAAAAGCAAGCUAACGUUUUCGUGUUUGUAUACUGAUCUUGAUGCUGAUAACCGCAUAACAUUAUUUAACACUAGCAUUUUGUGAUUAUUGGCAAAAUAUUCCACUAUCAAUCUGGCUUAAUUUUAAAGAUUAAAGGUUUUUUCUUCUGUGUAAAAAUAACUUGUUGCUGGGUAUGUAUUUCUGUAAUGAAAAUAAGCUUCUGUUCCAUGAACUUGGCACUGAUAACAGCCUAACAUUAUUUACAGCACCAUUGUGGGGUCUUUGCUUUUAUAUUCCAAUAUCAUUAUGCCUUAAUUAGCUAGUUAUAGAUUAAGAGUUUUUGUUUUAUGUGUCCAAAUUGCUUUCUGCUGAGUAUAACAGUUUAUGUUGGCAAAAUAAACUUAUUCUAUUCCAUCAACUAUGUACUCAUACUAUAUGUAUGAUGUAAGCAACACAGCUACAACUAAGAAAAUUGAUAAUGGGUGUGUUAGAUUUACAGUAGGUGUGCGAAUGAUCAAGCAUUGACAAUAGUCAAUAGUAUUGGCGGCGCAGAGGCGAUGGGGGGCCCCCAAAUAAAAUUCUGUUUAGGGCCCCAUAAAGGCUUGGACCAGCCCUGAUCAGCAAACUCAUCUGAAACAAUUGGGAAGUGAAGUAAGAUAUAAAUACAUCACAUUGGAAAUGAAACAGAAACACAGAAGAAGAAAUGAUCUUUCCAAUUUCAGUCAGAAAGAAUAACGAGUGGAACAAAUGAGAAACGCUCAGCUAGAAUAUCUACUCUCCAGCCUUCCCAUUGCUGACCGUGAGCGGGGAGGUCAAAGCAGGUGACGCUGUGACUGCUUCCUGCUCUGUCUCACUCCUGUCCCACGGAGCUGCCUCACCUGAUCUGGAGCCGCAGUGGAACAACCACCAACCAAUCAGAGGAGCUGCCCAACGGCCAAUGGAGAGUGACUUCAAGCCUGGCUUUCACUGCCACAAACUCUGACCACAACCAGCACCUGACUUGCACAGCAAAGUAUCAGCAAGUCACAUCUGUGCAAUCUUCUAAAAUUUUGAAUGUGGCAUAUGCCCCAGUCCGUGUGGAGGUCGAGCCUGAGUCCACAGUGGUGAAGGAGGGAGAUGCUGUGCAGAUCAAAACGUUUCAUUUGGACAGUUACACACAGGCCCUCACGUCUUUGUCGUCUGGCCUGAAAUGAAUACGUAAUGACCAUCUUUCUGAGCAUAUAUCAGACCCCCCAAGCAUUGGAGCACAAUCAGGCUGUGUUGCAGAAAUCACAGGGGUGAACUGCCGGUGCCUGGUGGAGUCCAGGCCCGCUAG